GACGAACGCUGGCGGCGUGCUUAACACAUGCAAGUCGAACGCUGAAGCUCAGCUUUUGUUGGGUGGAUGAGUGGCGAGCGGGUGAGUAACACGUGAGUAACCUGCCUCCUUCUUUGGGAUAACGCCCGGAAACGGGUGCUAAUACUGGAUAUUCACUGGUCUUCGCAUGGGGGUUGGUGGAAAGGGUUUUUCUGGUGGGGGAUGGGCUCGCGGCCUAUCAGCUUGUUGGUGGGGUGAUGGCCUACCAAGGCUUUGACGGGUAGCCGGCCUGAGAGGGUGACCGGUCACAUUGGGACUGAGAUACGGCCCAGACUCCUACGGGAGGCAGCAGUGGGGAAUAUUGCACAAUGGGCGCAAGCCUGAUGCAGCGACGCCGCGUGAGGGAUGGAGGCCUUCGGGUUGUGAACCUCUUUCGCUCAUGGUCAAGCCGCAACAAUGGUUGUGGUGAGGGUAGUGGGUAAAGAAGCGCCGGCUAACUACGUG
rnacentral:rRNA from 1 species